UUUGGGGAUUUUCUUGAGCUAGGGAUUGGUUCUUUCAUGGUGGAUUCGACGUUGGGGACUACUUAAGAAUACAAGAAAUCUUUCAAGUUGUUCAAGAACACCAAAUUUCCCAAACAUUGGAAUUUCAAGGAAAAGCUUCAAGAAGAUAUCAAUUUGUUGGUGGCGUAUGAGUAUUUUACUCAAUGUUACAAUGUCGGAGGAGGAUUAGAAGCUUGUGAAUAUUAAAAAAGCGAAAGCGAGUUUUGGAGAGUUGGGCAUCGGUCGAGUUAUUUGAA